UUCCGGUUGAUCCCGCCGGAGGCCAUUGCUAUCGGAGUCCGAUUUAGCCAUGCUAGUCGAGCGAGGUUAGCCCUCGCGGCGAACAGCUCAGUAACACGUGGCCAAGCUACCCUGCAGAGGGGGACAGCGUCGGGAAACUGACGGGAAUCCCCCAUACCGGUCUCACGCUGGAAUGCCGAGACCGACAAACGCUCCGGCGCUGCAGGAUGCGGCUGCGGCCGAUUAGGUAGUCGGUGGGGUAACGGCCCACCGAGCCGAUAAUUGGUACGGGGUGUGAGAGCACGAGCCCGGAGACGGAAUCUGAGACAAGAUUCCGGGCCCUACGGGGCGCAGCAGGCGCGAAACCUUUACACUGCACGAAGGUGCGAUAAGGGGACUCCGAGUGCGAGGGCAUACAGUCCUCGCUAUUGUGUACCGUAGGGUGGUACACGACCAAGAGCUGGGCAAGACCGGUGCCAGCCGCCGCGGUAAUACCGGCAGCUCGAGUGAUGGCCGAUUUUAUUGGGCCUAAAGCGUCCGUAGCUGGCCCUGCAAGUCCGUCGGGAAAUCCACUCGCCUAACGAGUGGGCGUCCGGCGGAAACUACAGGGCUUGGGACCGGAAGACUUGAGGGGUACGUCUGGGGUAGGAGUGAAAUCCUGUAAUCCUGGACGGACCGCCGAUGGCGAAAGCACCUCAAGACGACGGAUCCGACAGUGAGGGACGAAAGCUAGGGUCUCGAACCGGAUUAGAUACCCGGGUAGUCCUAGCCGUAAACGAUGUUCGCUAGAUGUGGCACAGGCUACGUGCCUGUGCUGUGUCGUAGGGAAGCCGAGAAGCGAACCGCCUGGGAAGUACGUCCGCAAGGAUGAAACUUAAAGGAAUUGGCGGGGGAGCACUACAACCGGAGGAGCCUGCGGUUUAAUUGGAUUCAACGCCGGG
rnacentral:rRNA from 1 species